UACGUAGGGUGCGAGCGUUGUCCGGAAUUACUGGGCGUAAAGAGCUCGUAGGCGGUUUGUCACGUCGGGAGUGAAAACUCAGGGCUUAACCCUGAGCCUGCUUCCGAUACGGGCAGACUAGAGGUAUGCAGGGGAGAAUGGAAUUCCUGGUGUAGCGGUGAAAUGCGCAGAUAUCAGGAGGAACACCAGUGGCGAAGGCGGUUCUCUGGGCAUUACCUGACGCUGAGGAGCGAAAGUGUGGGGAGCAAACAGG
rnacentral:rRNA from 1 species